AUUGAGAAUCAAAAUUACAUUUAAAACUCCUAAAACAGACUCUAUGACUUAGACGCAACUAGGAGUCUUGAAGUCUUGAUUUCCUGCAAAACAAUUCAUUCCAAAAAGAUUAACCUUAAAUUCUUAUACCUUCUCCCCCUUUAUUCAUAUCUCCACCUUUGUUUUUGAACUCAUCAUCCUCUGCUCUAGUUCAAUGCCUGUUCAUCCACGCUCUCCCCUUCAUCU
rnacentral:lncRNA from 1 species